AAUCAAUGAUGAAAACUAGCCAAAUCUGAAGGCGUGGAGGCUGCCUGCCUCUUAAGCCUGUGAUUAUGCUUGAGA